rnacentral:lncRNA from 1 species
GGCAACAGCCCUCUGAGAACAGAAAAAUAAGUGUUGACCAGUAUGAUAGUAGUCAUGAUUCCUGCCACCUCUUGAAGGACUUACAGUCACACCUUGCUUUGCAUGCAUGGAUUUUGUAAUUCUUGCAACACCCUUUGUGGUAGAUACUGUUCAUCACUGUGCUUCAGGGUCCAAAGACACAGAGCUAGUUAAAGGUAGAGUCUGGGGGAAGUAGGCCUUUUGUAUCCUUUUUUGUAGCCAUUUGUAUCCUUUCUGAUAGGCAACUCUUUUUACAUAAAGAAAAUGGGUAUUUGAGGGUGAGGCUCAUCCUCACAUGCCAGGUGGGCCCUAGAACUGGGAAAUCUCAAUGGGGAAAGGAAUGCAUGACCUGAGAAGUGGUCGCAUUGAUGCAGGCUUGAGGGAAGGGGAGGCUGGAUUCCACUCCAGGAAGGGUAGCCCACCUGCCUGGCACACUUAGCAUCUGCCAAGCACUGUUCUGAGCUGGUUACUUAGUUUAACUUGUUGACCUUCCCAGCAGGCCUGUGUGGUAGGUUCUAUUAUUACCCCAUCUAAAGACACAGGAACUGAGGUACAGAGGCACAUCUGGGCCCAAGAACACCCCCUAGAAGUGGUAGAACCAGGGUUCAAAUCCAGACGGUCUGGCUCCAGACCGAAUCACUCCCCAAGACUACCUUUCUGGAUGAGCUCAUUGGCUGGACGCGGGGGGCUUGGGGGGUUGGGGGCAGUAAGAUUUGUUGCACCCUCAAAAGGGUAACCAUUUUGAGCCCACCCUCAUCCUGUGCCCGAGCCUGAAAGACCUUCCCCAAAGCAUUGUCCUGCCCACAUUUUGGGCGGGGACCUGAAAUGAUCAGUCACCCUACUCAUGGCUGGGCACAUGGGAUGUGCAGAAAGGGACUUUCUCUGCCGCAUGUGUGUGCCUUCUCCCGAGGCCGGUGAUGGUCAGCGCCGUGGGACAUGCUUGCUGUAAUGAAGGCUGUUAACUCCAGCCACCUCAGAGAACAUGCCGGUACCCCAGGGACGCCCCUCUUUCUUACUUCACCAAAACACAGUCUUUUUAUCCCUCCCCUGAGGGGCUCCCUCGCUGAGCGCCUUUCUGUUUCUGAGCUGCACAGGUUCUCAGUGAAGCGUCCACUCCAGCCUGGGGCACAGAGGAGGUUGGUGGCAGAAGCCACCAAAGCACGUGGAGUCCUUGGCACUGGAUGUGUGUAAACCAGGACAGGCUUCCUCUCUGCCCCCUUGCCUAGCAACCCUUACAGGUGGGAAGCCAGAGAGCAAGGGGUUGGGGUAUCUCUUAAGAAAGCGAACCUAAAGCCAUUUGUGUUCCCAGCAUUUCCAGCCACUUUGUUUGUUAAUGGCUGCUCCUGCACUACAUGGAAGUUUCCGGGCCAGGGACUGAAUCCCAGCCACACCCGAGGCAGCGUGGGAUCCUUUAACUCACUGCGCUGGGCUGAGAAUCGAACCUGCACCUCAGAGGCAACCCGAGCCAUUGCAGUCAGAUCCCUAACCCACUAUGCCACAGCAGGAACUCCUGCUUUUGUUUUGUGGCCUGGUCUUUGAUGCAUAUAAUACUCUCUUCUUCUGCACUCAUCUCUGUUUACUGUUGUUAGAAUCCGUAACAACAAGCCUCUGUUGCCUGAGAGCACUGCACCCUGUGAGCAGGUGCCAGGGUUCAGGCUUCCGGAACGGCAUUUUCUCUGACAAUCGUGGACUUCGAGCCUGACUUCAUCUAGGUUGCAAUGAGGACAGCUCACCGGGCCUCCUCCUCCUGCCCGGUACAUUCCUGAGUUGUUAGGCCAGUUCAGAAAUGCAGGCUGAGGCCUCGCCUGCCUUAAAGGAUAGUUCUUGAUGUGCAGAUACCUGAAGCUGCAGGCAGCUGGGUGUUGAACUUGCUUGUCCUGCAAGAGUGUGCAUCCAUUUGGGAGCUACCCUUAAGCUCAUCUGUUUUUGAAACACAUUUUGAAUCCUGAAUAUCUGGGGAAUUCCUCUAGUUAAUAAAUGAAGGAAGUUUAAACCUGUCUGCAGUUUUGAAUUUGGUAUUCUCAUUAGGGAAAGCUGAAAAACACUGGGUGACUUGAUCUCUGGCUGUGAAAUCGCUGAGAUGGACAGGGUUUAAUGAACUGGGCGUGGAUGCAGUAUGCACAUCUGUCUGGCUGACUUUGUAGAUGUUAAAAAUAUCUAACAUUACAGAUGUGUGUGAAUGUGUAUCUGUGUGUGCACGUUCCUGAUCACACAAUAUUUCAUGGGUCUUAAAUAUUGGAGAGAAAUAAGCCACUUGAGAGGGAAGAUUUUUGACACAUUAAGUUAUGAAGACCCAUGUUUUUGAACAUCCACCUGUAUGUGGUGUUCUUUAUUGCAUGUGUAUUUAUUGCUGUUUCCAGAUCCUUCUCUGCUCUCGUUGGCUUUCAGGAAGUGUGUACUGUGCACACAUAGACAGGGCAGUUCACGCCUUAAGGUUGCAGGUUGUACCCUUGGUUAUGAAAAGCCGGCAUCGAUGUGAGUGAAAUUAUAAAAAGAAGUGAGUUUGGACAUUUCAGUGAUGCUUAGAAAUGAUGUUUAGAAACAGAAGUGACCUCAACAAGAAUAUAGACACAGAAUUUUUUUUUUUUUUUUUUAAGUGAGCAGUACUAGCCGUGUCUUGGUCCCUGGAUAAAUCCCAAAUUAGGUCUUGGUUUUUAGGAUACGGUUUUCUUACAUCAUUGGGCCCAGUUCACUGAUAAAAAUCCUCUAGUGGGUUAUUAGAAAUGCGUCACUCUGCUGAGGGCUUUGCCAGUAAACCUGAUGGCAGCUGAGAGCUUCGUGAUAUGCUUGGGUGUUUGUUUUGAUGGGAUCCUGGGCGAAGGCCGCUGCCUGUGAUGAGCUUCGCCUGCCCUGUGCCCUCUGGAAAGUUCCUGGGUUGGGGUUUGGGCUGGAACCCCUGUCUGUGAGUCAUGCAGCUGGCCUGUCCCCGGGCCAUACUGGGAUGAGGUUUCUGUAGCCCGUGGACUCGCACCCGACACCUCCUUAACGGCUGCUUGGAACCUUGGCACUAAGACCCGGCUUGAACAUUAACCACUCCCAUUUCUUCCGUCAGUAACACAAAUGGGUAAAGUUUUCAGGGCCAGUGGAGAUGCAAAGAAAGACAAACUUUUUUUGGCCAUUUUUUAACUACCUGUGACUAUUUCCAAAUUAAUGUUUUUGAUACUAAUCAUUGAGUUUAAUAGGAUGAUAUCAUAUUGCUGGUGUGUGUGUAUGUAUGUGUGUGUUGUGUGUACUUAUAUAUAUAGAGAGAGACUCAUUUCAAAAGGAGGAGAUACCUACUUAAAACAGCUUUAUUUUUUUCAAUUUAUUUUUAUGGCUGCACCCAUGGCAUAUGGAAGUUCCUAGGCCAGGGAUUGAAUCGGAGCCACAGCCACGACUAAUGCUGCAGCUGCAGCAGUGCCAAAUCCUUUUAACCCACUGCUCUGGGCCAGGGAUUGAACCCAAACCCACACCUCUGCAACAACCCUGACUGUUGCAGUUGGGUUCUUAACUCACUGUGCCACAGCGGGAACUCAAAAUAACUUUAUUUUUAAAAGGGAAUGUUCAGAUUCUCGUGGUGGAGAUGACGCGAACACAGUUCAAGGGUGGCCGUGGUCGUUUGUCAGCCUGUGACUCACUCCUUCCAUCUCGCGCCCCAUUGGCUCAGCUUUUCACUCUCUCCGCAUUGACUGCCCUGCCUCUGGAGCUGCCACUGCAUCUUGUUCGCAGCCAGAGGCCAGGGCCUCGUCAUCCCCACUGUCCUCCUCCAUGGUCUCUUGCCCCCUCCGCUCGUGGACACCCUCACCCCAGCCCCGUGGGCUCCAUUCCUCGGUAAGUCCUGGCCUGACUCGUGUUGGGGACAGGCCUCAGGGCAGCCGGCAGCUUUGUCCUGGCCUGACACCUGGUGCCAGCUGAGCAGCAGGUCUGGCCAGAGCCUCCCUUUGGGAAGAGCUUAGAGCUCCCGCCUUGCGCUUGUUAGAAACACACUUGCCAGCUGAGGUCCUAGCUGGCGGCUGUACACGGUGGCGGGAACCACCUCAAGUGGAAGGAAUAGAAGCUGAGGGGGGAAGCCGAGGCAACAGCGAGAGAGGCAGACUCUUUGGUAAGAGGCUCCGAGAAGCGCCUGGGGUGGGAAGUGAUUCUUCUGUCGCUCUGAGUCACUUCUGAUGUCCCUUGGCUCAGUAGGAAGUUUUUCUUCUUUCUUAGUACUUCCAUUCAUUAACCCUAAAAUAAAUAUCUUAAAGAGCAUAAACUUUUUAUCGCAGCGGCUUACCUUGGCGAAUUGUACAGUGAAUGCUUCUGACAUAGUUGCCAAGCUUUCAUGUGUCUCACCAGGUUAGAUGACUUUCAUGGUCGUUUAAUUUCAAACAGUUCUUUGCCACGGGUAGGCUAGGGGACGGUGGAAUUGCUUGCAACCCGACACCAAGGCCAGGCAGGAUGGACAGGCACAGCUCAGCCCCCAGAUGGUUUGGGUCGUGCUGGGGCCCUAAAAUCUCUCAGCAUUGGCAACUGAGGGUUUGGUGUCAAGGGUUGGCUGUGCCUCUGCGUCCUGUUGUCAGGGACCCAGGCUGACGGAGCGGUCUCUGUCUGGAGUUUUUGUGACUUCAUGGGAGAGGGGAGAGAGCUGGACAACAAAGGACUGCCUCCUGAGCCCUUCUGUCCCCAAAGUGGCACGUGGAAUUGGCUGGACAGGUCCCAUGGUUGAGCCCGAUGUCUCUGGGGUGGGAAAAACUCUCUUCCUCACAGAAGGGACACACAGCAUUUGAAAGAAUAAUAGUCUUUCAGAAAGCUUUUCCAGAAGCUUCCAGUCAGGAGGAGACUCUUGUUCUAGUUGAUUCUUCAGUUGACUUGGGUGUGUGUGAGGGACUCAGAAAGAACAGAUGGCAUAAUCCUCUCUGUGGAUCGUGUUUGGGUUUUCUUAAGCUUCGGGAAGGGAAGCUGGCUGAUGGCCUUGUAUCUUGUGAACAAGCAGCGAUUCUUUCUGCCUCUGUGCAGAAGGGACUGGAAAGCCUAUAGUUGCUGGAAACACGAACAUCCGUGGUCCCCAGGACCGGGGACGGCUGCCCAGCUGUCCAUUUAGAUAAGCCAGAAGCUCAUCCUCUGAGGGUUAUUUAUUCUCAGUGUCAAGUCGCUUGAACAGAGGGCUUUUGCCUUCUCCCUUCUGUGAUACCAGCCAGUUCACAAAGAAGGAAGUAUCUUGAUUUUUAUGUGUAAGUUCUUAGUUCUUUGUUUUCCACUCUUUGUUACUUUUGUCCUUUAAAACUCUCUACUUUCUUAUUGAUACUGAGAAUACCAGUGAGGCUCACUUUAAGACUAGUAUUUGGAGUUCCUGUGGUGGCUCGGCAGGUUAAGGACCUGACCUUGUCUCUGUGAGGAUGCGGGUUCGAUCCCUGGCCUCUGCUCAGUGGGUUAAGAAGCUGGCAUUGCUGCGAGCUGCAACACAGAUCACAGAUGUGGCUCGGGUCUCUUGUUGCCAUGGCUGUGGCACAGGCUGCAGCUGCAGCUCCAAAUUGGCCCCAAGGUCCAUAUGUCACAGGUGUGGCUGUAAAAAUAAAUAAAUAAAUAAAUAGACUUAUUUUGCCAGAAUUCAUUAUGAAUAUGAAAACUACUUUUUGUUUCAGAGUUUGUAAAGGCAGCUCUUGAAGCGCAAAUUCUAAUUCCAUUUAAACAAAUCAAAAACCUCUGACCCCACAGCAGGUACAGGGCAUAGGCAUGUGGUCCCUGGCUCAUAAGGUCUGCGCUGAAUCACACCUAAGCAUCUGUCAUGGAUGUUAGUUCUUCUGUCCCUCCUGUCAGACAGAAACAGGAAAGACACAUAAAAGACUUCCUAAAGAUUUUUAGAUUGUGACAUUUGUAGAAGGAAAUGGAGUGAUAAAAUAUGUAAGUGGGUUUGAGAAAUCUUAAAAGAGUGGGUCAUGUAGAAAUUAGGACCAGACAAGUGGACCUGUUGUCUCUGGCUGCUGCUGAUGCCUCAGAACAGGGUGUGAAAAUGACCCCUUUAGAAGUAGGAUUGCAAAUUGAUUGGCUAUGCAGAGUUCAAGUGGACAUCAAGAAAGAAUUAUCACUGGCCAAGACAAGUAAAUUAAGCUCCAGGCACAGAAGAAAAGAGGCUUGCUGAGGUGUUCUGUAGACCGAGGUCCUUGUUGGUCUAGAGGGGCCACCAGGCAGCCAAACCACCAACAGGUUUAACAGGAGGGAGAAGCGUCUUGCAUGCGGGGGUCAUGCAAUGACUGGAAUGGCUGAAAGUACUUUGGUCUACUUGGUAAAUUCCUUGAGAUUCCCUGACAUUUGCAGUGGCUUAGGCCACUGGAGCAUGAAUUGGGUGGCUGGCCCAACUCUGGAGAAAAGAAUUCAGGAGCAAUAAAGACCACGCUGGCCAAACUUGGAAUUUUUUCAAGGCAAAGUCCAAGACCCUUAGGCGGAGGUAAAGACAGUUAAUGGUAAAUGGACUCCCCAUCUUAAUAACCAGGGAAGCCCUGUUUUUGCCAUUUGUAGAACGUAGUUAACUGGAAAAAAAAAGAGGUGACUUCAGUGUGUGGUCCAGAGAAACCACUGGGACCCCAGGAGAGGCAGGGUCAAGGCUCUGUCUGCUCUGGCAAGUUGGAUUCCACAUCCUGUCAGCCUGCCGUCCUGGACAUAUAGUAGCAUGGACCUUAAUUUUUUUCAGAAGAACAGCGAAAAGUGUGCUUAACUUCUGGAAUAUUAUACAUGCCCAUCCAGGUUACAGGACAUGACUUACUCAGAGUAGACUUUUCUAAAAUGUGAAGGUUUUAGAACUCAGAUUUUUUAAAAUUUAAUUUCCUUUUUAUUAGAGCAUAGUUGAUUUACAG